rnacentral:rRNA from 1 species
GUAAGGAAUAUUGGACAAUGGACGCAAGUCUGAUCCAGCCAUGCCGCGUGCAGGAAGACGGCCCUCUGGGUUGUAAACUGCUUUUAUCUGGGAAGAAAAAGGCCAUGCGUGGCAAAUUGCCGGUACCAGAUGAAUAAGCACCGGCUAACUCCGUGCCAGCAGCCGCGGUAAUACGGAGGGUGCGAGCGUUGUCCGGAUUUAUUGGGUUUAAAGGGUGCGUAGGCGGCUGAUUAAGUCAGCGGUGAAAGACUUCGGCUUAACCGGAGCAGUGCCGUUGAUACUGGUUGGCUUGAGUGUCGGAGGGGUACAUGGAAUUGAUGGUGUAGCGGUGAAAUGCAUAGAUACCAUCAGGAACACCGAUAGCGAAGGCAUUGUACUGGCCGACAACUGACGCUGAUGCACGAAAGUGUGGGGAUCGAACAGGAUUAGAAACCCCUGUAGUCC